UCUNUGAUCUAAGGAUUAAUUGCACGGGAUGGUUGAAGCUAUGCGUUGGAAUGUCCGGAGGAUAAGAGAACCGUAGCAUCUCCAUCUUCAGCUUCAGUUUCCUGCAAGCCCAAAACCUCUGUGAAUUUG